UCAUUCAGUUGGGUCGACUCUAAGGGGACGUGCCGGUGAUAAGCCGAGAGGAAGUGGGGAUGACGUCAAGUCCUCAUGGCCUUACGGGCUGGGCUACACACGUGCUACAAUGGUGGUGACAGUGGGCAGCGAGACCGCGAGGUCGAGCUAAUCUCCAAAAGCCAUCUCAGUUCGGAUUGCACUCUGCAACUCGAGUGCAUGAAGUUGGAAUCGCUAGUAAUCGCGGAUCAGCAUGCCGCGGUGAAUACGUUCCCGGGCCUU
rnacentral:rRNA from 1 species